AUUGAACGCUGGCGGCAGGCCUAACACAUGCAAGUCGAGCGGAGCGGCAGACGGGUGAGUAAAGCCUAGGAAUCUGCCUGGUAGAGGGGGAUAACGUCCGGAAAGGGGCGUUAAUACCGCACAUUAACAGUUGAAUUUAGGUCGGAUUAGCUAGCUGGUGGGGAAAAGGCCUACCAAGGCGACGAACCGUACCUGGCCUGAGAGGAUGAUCAGCCACACUGGAACUGAGACACGGUCCAGACUCCUACGGGAGGCAGCAGUGGGGAAUAUUGGACAAUGGGCGAAAGCCUGAUCCAGCCAUGCCGCGUGGUUGAAGAAGGUCUUCGGAUUGUAAAGCACUUUAAGUUGGGAGGCGUUACCAACAGAAUAAGCACCGGCUAACUUCGUGCCAGCAGCCGCGGUAAUAC
rnacentral:rRNA from 1 species